AUUGAACGCUGGCGGCAGGCUUAACACAUGCAAGUCGAGCGGGGUGAUGGUGCUUGCACUAUCACUUAGCGGCGGACGGGUGAGUAAUGCUUAGGAAUCUGCCUAUUAGUGGGGGACAACAUCUCGAAAGGGAUGCCAAUACCGCAUACGUCCUACGGGAGAAAGCAGGGGAUCACUUGUGACCUUGCGCUAAUAGAUGAGCCUAAGUCGGAUUAGCUAGUUGGUGGGGUAAAGGCCUACCAAGGCGACGAGCUGUAGCGGGUCUGAGAGGAUGAUCCGCCACACUGGGACUGAGACACGGCCCAGACUCCUACGGGAGGCAGCAGUGGGGAAUAUUGGACAAUGGGGGGAACCCUGAUCCAGCCAUGCCGCGUGUGUGAAGAAGGCCUUAUGGUUGUAAAGCACUUUAAGCGAGGAGGAGGCUCUUUUGGUUAAUACCCAAGAUGAGUGGACGUUACUCGCAGAAUAAGCACCGGCUAACUCUGUGCCAGCAGCCGCCGUAA
rnacentral:rRNA from 1 species